GCGAGUGCAGUGAUGAUGCAAUAGUAUGUGGACUAGAGUUUCUGAUACCUUAGUAGUUGAAGACUAACCCUUGGCUGUCUGAGCACUCUC